rnacentral:lncRNA from 1 species
AAAGAGAGGCUUUAAGCAGAGCUAUCCAACAGAAAUAAGAUGCCAGCCAUAGGGCACUCAAACCCCUCAGGAUGAACCGGAGCUGACUUUCCUGCCUUAGCCGCCUCUUUUCCCCUCCUCUGGACCCGGGUCCACACUGUCAUUCCAUAGAGGCGUUGCUCUUUUCCAGCUCUGCAUCUUUAGCAGAACCUCCUGUCCUCUUCCUUCUCCCGGAAUGUCCUCUUUUCCUUCAGAUCCUCCCCACCCUGUACACCCAGGCUGGAGUGCAGUGGCACAAUCUCCGCUCCCUGCAACCUCCGCCUCCACGUUCAAGCGAUUCUCCUGCCUCAGCCUCCUAAAUAGCUGGUAUUACAGGCAUGCACAAUCACACCUGGCUAAUUUUUGUAUUUUUAGUAGAGUGGGGGUUUCACCAUGUUGGUCAGGCUAUUUGAAGGAGAGAAGGGAUUUCAUCAAAAUGUGAAAUUAUGGGGUGUGACUGAUGUAAAGUGAAGUUAUGUAACUAUGACUGCAACAAAGAUUGAGAUCACUAUGAGAAAAGCUGAACCGAUGCAGUGGGCAAGCCUUGAACUGCCUGCAGCCAAAAAGCAGGAAAAACAAAAAGACAACACAACAGAUUGAGCGGGACAUGGGAGGAAGGCUAUUACGUAUUUCAGAAUUCUUAAUACUGUGUGAAGUGGUGACUUGCUGCUGUCAUCUUUUGUUUUGUUGUUGUGUUACUCAAUCGGGCAUUUCAGGGUUAACAUUAGGUUCUUAAAAGCCAAAGUCAGUUUGUCUUUUUGUGCCUCUCACCUUUCUUUUGUGUUAUGUAAGAUUGAUUAUUCGUUUCUCCUUACUGGUAGGAACCAUAGUUGUGUCCUGUACUUGAAGAAGCUAGAAAAUCUCCCAUAACCAUAAUUGCAGUAUUUCUUCGUAUUUCUCUGUUAAGCAGAGAAAUAUUAAGAACAUGAUAUUUACUUCUUUCUAUUAUUCCAUAAUUAGUAAAGGAAGAUGAAGUGUCCAUUUUUAAUCAGUUU